rnacentral:rRNA from 1 species
CUGAGGAGGGGUGACCCGGCACCCUGGACUGAGACACGCCAGACUCUACGGAGGCAGCAGUGGGAUAUGCACAAUGGCGGAAGCUGAUGCAGCACGCCGCGUGAGGGAUGACGGCUUCGGGUGUAAACCUCUUUAGCAGGGAAGAAGCGAAAGUGACGGUACUGCAGAAAAAGCGCCGGCUAACUACGUGCCAGCAGCCGCGGUAAUACGUAGGGCGCAAGCGUUAUCCGGAAUUAUUGGGCGUAAAGAGCUCGUAGGCGGUUUGUCGCGUCUGCUGUGAAAUCCCGAGGCUCAACCUCGGGCUGCAGUGGGUACGGGCAGACUAGAGUGCGGUAGGGGAGAUUGGAAUUCCUGGUGUAGCGGUGGAAUGCGCAGAUAUCAGGAGGAACACCGAUGGCGAAGGCAGAUCUCUGGGCCGUAACUGACGCUGAGGAGCGAAAGGGUGGGGAGCAAACAGGCUUAGAUACCCUGGUAGUCCACCCCGUAAACGUUGGGAACUAGUUGUGGGGUCCAUUCCACGGAUUCCGUGACGCAGCUAACGCAUUAAGUUCCCCGCCUGGGGAGUACGGCCGCAAGGCUAAAACUCAAAGGAAUUGACGGGGACCCGCACAAGCGGCGGAGCAUGCGGAUUAAUUCGAUGCAACGCGAAGAACCUUACCAAGGCUUGACAUAUACGAGAACGGGCCAGAAAUGGUCAACUCUUUGGACACUCGUAAACAGGUGGUGCAUGGUUGUCGUCAGCUCGUGUCGUGAGAUGUUGGGUUAAGUCCCGCAACGAGCGCAACCCUCGUUCUAUGUUGCCAGCACGUAAUGGUGGGAACUCAUGGGAUACUGCCGGGGUCAACUCGGAGGAAGGUGGGGAUGACGUCAAAUCAUCAUGCCCCUUAUGUCUUGGGCUUCACGCAUGCUACAAUGGCCGGUACAAAGGGCUGCAAUACCGUGAGGUGGAGCGAAUCCCAAAAAGCCGGUCCCAGUUCGGAUUGAGGUCUGCAACUCGACCUCAUGAAGUCGGAGUCGCUAGUAAUCGCAGAUCAGCAACGCUGCGGUGAAUACGUUCCCGGGUCUUGUACACACCGCCCGUCAAGUCAUGAAAGUCGGUAACACCUGAAGCCGGUGGCCUAACCCUGGGAGGAGCCUGAACAACCAAACACUCUAA